rnacentral:rRNA from 1 species
AUUGAACGCUGGCGGCAGGCCUAACACAUGCAAGUCGAACGAGCGGCGGACGGGUGAGUAAUGUCUGGGAAACUGCCUGAUGGAGGGGGAUAACUACUGGAAACGGUAGCUAAUACCGCAUACCAUCAGAUGUGCCCAGAUGGGAUUAGCUUGUUGGUGGGGUAAUGGCUCACCAAGGCGACGAUCCCUAGCUGGUCUGAGAGGAUGACCAGCCACACGGGAACUGAGACACGGUCCAGACUACUACGGGAGGCAGCAGUGGGGAAUAUUGCACAAUGGGCGAAAGCCUGAUGCAGCCAUGCCGCGUGUGUGAAGAAGGCCUUCGGGUUGUAAAGCACUUUCAGCGGGGAGGCGUUACUCGCAGAAGAAGCACCGGCUAACUCCGUGCCAGCAGCCGCGGUAAUUC